rnacentral:rRNA from 1 species
AGUUUGAUCCUGGCUCAGAUUGAACGCUGGCGGCAUGCUUUACACAUGCAAGUCGAACGGGGUGAGGAGCUUGCUCCUCAUCUAGUGGCGAACGGGUGAGUAAUACAUCGGAACGUACCGUGUAGUGGGGGAUAACGUAGCGAAAGUUACGCUAAUACCGCAUACGAUCCACGGAUGAAAGCAGGGGACCUUCGGGCCUUGUGCUAUACGAGCGGCCGAUGUCUGAUUAGCUAGUUGGUGGGGUAAAGGCCCACCAAGGCAACGAUCAGUAGCGGGUCUGAGAGGAUGAUCCGCCACACUGGGACUGAGACACGGCCCAGACUCCUACGGGAGGCAGCAGUGGGGAAUUUUGGACAAUGGGCGCAAGCCUGAUCCAGCCAUGCCGCGUGUCUGAAGAAGGCCUUCGGGUUGUAAAGGACUUUUGUCAGGGAGCAAAACCCAGCAGCUAAUAUCUGUUGGGGAUGAGAGUACCUGAAGAAUAAGCACCGGCUGGCUACGUG